rnacentral:lncRNA from 1 species
UCAUAUCUGCAGGAUACUCGCUAAUACUGUCACGAUAGCUAUAUAAAUUAGUCAAUACGAGUUACAGAUUAAAUAUUCACACAAAAUUAUUAUAUUGGAUGAAAAUUCAUCGAGAAUUAUAGAUUCUAAUAAUUAUCAUCGUACUCCGGCGUUGAAUACGGCGUACGUCUCAUCAUGAGAAAACGUGGCAUCCAGAUCAAGAAUACUUGCCGCACCCAAGGAGACAUAUUAUGCGUCGACGGCGAGCUGCGUAUAAAUCAAGUUUUCAAUUAAGUGUGAUCCGUGGGAUUGCUAGCGACGUCGGUGGAAUGAUUUCAGCAAGCAACAAAAAGAAUACUGUCAACGACAGAAGAAUGGACGAGCACAAUGAAACCUGAAAUUAAGGCAGUAAAAUGUAUGAAAUUCUGUAAAAGUUUUUUUGUGGGAUAAUACUUUUGGGUAAUUAACACAAUAAUAGAUAUAAAUCAAGAAAUAAGUUUGGUAAACAA